UACGUAGGGUGCAAGCGUUGUCCGGAAUUAUUGGGCGUAAAGAGCUCGUAGGCGGUCUGUCACGUCGGCUGUGAAAACCCGAGGCUCAACCUCGGGCCUGCAGUCGAUACGGGCAGACUAGAGUUCGGUAGGGGAGACUGGAAUUCCUGGUGUAGCGGUGAAAUGCGCAGAUAUCAGGAGGAACACCAGUGGCGAAGGCAGCUCGCUGGGACGUGACUGACGCUGAGACGCGAAAGCGUGGGGAGCAAACAGG
rnacentral:rRNA from 1 species